AACGAAGUGAAUUGAAAUAUCUUAGUAACUUUAGGAAAAGAAAUCAAACGAGAUUAAUAUUUAGUGUAAACUAAAUAUUAAAAGCCUAAUAACAAAACUUGUUAAGUAAAAUGGAUUCAAAUCUGUUUGAAUAAAGGGGAACCUUCCUCUAAGGCUAAAUAUAAUAUAUAAGCGAUAGUGAAAAGUACCGUGAGGUAAAAUUUGAAAUAGUAGUUUUAUAAGCAGCUCAAAUAAAAUUUAAAUAAAAAAUAAGAGCGUACCUUUUGCAUAAUGGGUCAGCAAGUUAAUUUUAGAUGCAAGUAAAGAUAACCAAUUUAAAUUAUAAAAAGUUAUGAUUAAAAAGGUUAUUUUAACUUAGAUAAACCAAUUAUGAAAAAAUGAGUUAGUAUCUAAAAUUAGACCCGAAGGCUAGUGAUCUUACCAUGGUCAGGGUUAUAAAAGCCCGAACGGGUUAUCGUUGUAUAGAUAUCCGAAGAAUUGUGGUAAGUUAGUGAAAGACAAAACUGACUAGUAUAGCUGGUUUUCCGCGAAACCUAUAUGAGUAGGUAAUUUAAUUAACAUCUUAGCAGGUACAGAACUGUGAUCUCGGAUAAUAUCAAUUGAUUUUAUCAACAUCGGGGGGUUGUAGUGACUUUACUGGAGAGUAUUUGCACUCGGAAUGGCAAAGAUGAAUGUUGAAUAAUCGGACAUAGUGCGAUAAGGUUGUAUGUCAAAAGGGAAACAGCCCAGAACAAGAGUUAAGGUUCCAAAAUUAUUGUUGAGUGAAAUUAAGGAUGUUUAUUAUUAAUACAAUCAGGAAAUAGGCUUAGAAGGGGCCAUUUUUUGAAGACCUCGUAACAGAGCACUGAUUAAAUUUUAGUAAUAAACACCAAAAAUUUAACGGAUCUAAACAAUAUACCGAAACCUUGUACACAUAUUAUAAUAAUUAUAUAUAUUAAUUAAUAUAUAUUGUAUAUGUGGGGUAGCGGAACAUUGGAUAAAUAUUAUUUAUUAUUACUUCUAAGAUAUAAUAAGUAUAAAUAUUAUUUUAAUAAUAAUAAUUUAUCAAUAUAAUCCAAGAGAGAAUGCUGACAUGAGUAACGAAAAAGGAAUAACCUCGCCUUAAGCUUAUAUGGUAUUGUAUUAAAUUUUCGGUGUCUAAAAAUAUUAAUCAAAAGGUAAUUUUGAUGAUAUUUAUAUAUGUACUAAAUAUUAAUUAGAGUAUAUAAUACUCUUAGUUAAUAAAAGUAAAAAAUAAAACCUUUAAAAAGUAAUAAAGGUUCUGGAAAAUUUUUUACUAUAUUAUAUAUAUAUUUUAUUUAGAGCCUUAGGGACUAGUUAUAUAAUUUCUUGUUAAAGUUUUCAAGAUUGUAUAAAGUAUAAUUUUAAUAUAAAAUUAUACAAUAAUAUAUAUAUAUAAUAAGUUAUAUAUAUACCGUACCUAGAUACUAUCACAAGUAAGCAAGUAGAGAAUACAAAGGCGUUUGAGUGAACAAUCAUUAAGGAACUCGGCAAAUUGACUACCGUAACUUCGGGAUAAGGAGGGCCAUUAUUAUAAUAUUUAACGUAUAUAUGUCUGUAAAAAGAUAUAUAUAUGAUAUAAUUAAAUAUAUAAUAAGAGGAAACAUAAAAUAAUGUUGUACGACUGUUUAAUAAAAACACAGCACUCUGCAAAGAUUAAAUAUCAAAGUAUUGAGUGUGAUGUCUGCCCAAUGUCGGCAGGGUUAAAUGCGGUCCUGCAUGAAUGACAUAACGAUACAACAGCUGUCUCGAUGAUUGUCUCAGUGAAAUUGGAAUAGCAGUGCAGAUACUGUUUACCUCUAGAUAAACGAGAAGACCCUAUGCAGCUUUACUGUUACCAGUUGCAAAAGUUAAAUUUUAGGAUGUUUUCGAGAGUAUAAGGUAGUUGAAAGAUAACAAUGAAACACCUUUAUUCGUUUCCUUAUAUAUGCUUUUGAAGAUUGGAAGGCAGUUUAUGCGGGGCACAGAUCCCACAAAAAGUACAUGGGUAUAUCCAAAGUUCAUAUUGUAAAUUUGUAAUUUUAUUACAAAUAUUUUAAUUUGUUAUAUUUAUUUUUAUAAAUAUACAGUUAUUGUUAAAUUAAGUUCAAUAUUUAUUUUUAUCUAAGUAAGAUUUUAACUAUAUGGUUAAUAGAUGUAUUUAAAACUUUAAUAUUUAAAAGUUUUUUGUCAUAUUAAUUUUGUAUAUUAUCUUAAUUAAUAUGAUGAUUAAUUAUACUUUAAAAGUUUAAUGGCUAAAUCUUGCUUUAUCGUUUGACCUACAAGUUCAUCAGUUGCGUAAGCGGGGCAUAUGAUCACAAGAUGCAUUAAGGAAAGGUCUUGGAUUAUAGAAAAAGUUACGCUAGGGAU
rnacentral:rRNA from 1 species